rnacentral:rRNA from 1 species
UACGUAGGGCGCAAGCGUUAUCCGGAAUUAUUGGGCGUAAAGGGCUCGUAGGCGGCCAACUAAGUCAGACGUGAAAUCCCUCGGCUUAACCGGGGAACUGCGUCUGAUACUGGAUGGCUUGAGUUUGGGAGAGGGAUGCGGAAUUCCAGGUGUAGCGGUGAAAUGCGUAGAUAUCUGGAGGAACACCGGUGGCGAAGGCGGCAUCCUGGACCAACACUGACGCUGAGUGAGCGAAAGCCAGGGGAGCAAACGGG